UAUCUCAACGCUCACUUGCUUAGUGCCUCUUUAUGACACUUAAGCACCACAACUAAUCAAGCUCAAUUCAUGUCCUAUGUCCCAAAUAUGACAUUAAUACCAAUGUUCACUAUGGCUCGGGGCCCAAUGCCUCUUUAUGACAUUGACCCAAAAUCCCAAAUAAUCUAAGUCCCCAAGCCUCUCUAGGCUUCCAAAGUCCCUAAUGUCACGAUUAGGCAUAAAGGUAAAAUACAUAAAAGCAAUGUUCAUUUUCAUAAUAGGAAUCAUGGUUUCAAGUCUCAACUAGAAUGCUAUAUCCCACAUGCAUGCACCCUACCACAUAGGGGGUCCAAAAAUUUACUAUACAUAACAUAUGCAUGUUAAGCAUUCUAAAAUUCAUAAUAAAUAUAUCUAACAUGAUUAUGCAUGCUUUUUCAAUUAACGAUAAUCAAAUCAUCACAAAUGAGAUUUUCUCAUUGUGUGACUAGGUCAAACCCACCGAACCGUCGCGUAGUCCUUCG
rnacentral:lncRNA from 1 species